rnacentral:rRNA from 1 species
AUUGAACGCUGGCGGCAUGCCUUACACAUGCAAGUCGAACGGCAGCACGGGAGCAAUCCUGGUGGCGAGUGGCGAACGGGUGAGUAAAGUAUCGGAACGUGCCCAGUCGUGGGGGAUAACGUAGCGAAAGUUACGCUAAUACCGCAUACGAUCUAUGGAUGAAAGCGGGGGAUCGCAAGACCUCGCGCGAUUGGAGCGGCCGAUAUCAGAUUAGGUAGUUGGUGGGGUAAAGGCUCACCAAGCCGACGAUCUGUAGCUGGUCUGAGAGGACGACCAGCCACACUGGGACUGAGACACGGCCCAGACUCCUACGGGAGGCAGCAGUGGGGAAUUUUGGACAAUGGGCGAAAGCCUGUUCCAGCCAUGCCGCGUUCAGGAUGAAGGCCUUCGGGUUGUAAACUGCUUUUGUACGGAACGAAAAGGUUUGGCCUAAUAAGCUGAGCUCAUGACGGUACCGUAAGAAUAAGCACCGGCUAACUACGUGCCAGCAGCCGCCGUAA